GAUGAAUGCUGGCGGCGUGCCUAAUACAUGCAAGUCGAGCGAACAGACGAGGAGCUUGCUCCUUCGACGUUAGCGGCGGACGGGUGAGUAACACGUAGGUAACCUACCUCUAAGACUGGGAUAACUUCGGGAAACCGGAGCUAAUACCGGAUAAUAUUUCGAACCGCAUGGUUCGAUAGUGAAAGAUGGCUUUGCUAUCACUUAUAGAUGGACCUGCGCCGUAUUAGCUAGUUGGUAAGGUAACGGCUUACCAAGGCAACGAUACGUAGCCGACCUGAGAGGGUGAUCGGGCACACUGGAUCUGAGACACGGUCCAGACUCCUACGGGAGGCAGCAGUAGGGAAUCUUCCGCAAUGGGCGAAAGCCUGACGGAGCAACGCCGCGUGAGUGAUGAAGGUCUUCGGAUCGUAAAACUCUGUUAUUAGGGAAGAACAAACGUGUAAGUAACUGUGCACGUCUUGACGGUACCUAAUCAGAAAGCCACGGCUAACUACGUG
rnacentral:rRNA from 1 species